UUGGGGUUUCCCAGGUGUGUUUGGGGUGUCCCAGGUGCCCCAGGUGUGUUUUGGGGUACCCCAGGUAUGUUUGAGGUGUCCCAGGUGUGUUUGGGGUGUCCCAGGUGUGUUUUGGAGGCUUCCCGUGUGAUCCAGAAGCCAGGAAGAAGCCAGAGGAGCUCCCAGGGCUGCCGGGCUCCCACAUCACAACCUUACCGCGUCGAAGAGCCGCCAGAGGUUCUGCACCACCUUGGCAACCACGGGGCUGGCCUCGCUGCUCCUCAGCUGGCCCAGCACGUUCAGGCAGGUGUCCAUGGCCAUCACCGAGACGUCCCAGGACCAAUGCCAAAGGAAUUUCAGCAGCUCGGGGAGGAGGCCUCUCAUUUUCCUUGCCUGCGUAAAAAAGAGUUUCUGUUGUUCUGUGAGAGCUUCCGUCGCUGGAGGAGGCGAAACAGAAGAGUGGAUUCGAAAUCACAGCAGCAGAGGUUUUUAUUCCUGAGGAGCUUUUAUUUCGGGGUUUUCAGCCCCUUUUAUGAGGUGUUCUGAUAAAGGUUUAACAUGAUUGGUAAGAGGAACAAGAGAAAAACACAUUCGGAACAUUUCUGGGCUGCUGUUUUGGGAAACAAAACCCUAUUUAUAAAACAGUAACCCUUUCCCGCCAUUUUCUCCCCUCACGUUUUCCCGCCCUUUUCUCCCCUCAUGUUUUCUGCCAUUUUUUCCUCUCACAAUUCCACUUUUUCUCCUCUCACAUUUCUCAUUUUUUACCUGUUUUCAUCCCUUUCCUCCCCUCACGUUUUCCCGCUCUUUUUCUCCCCUCACGUUUCCCGCCCUUUUCUCUCCUCACGUUUUCUGCUAUUUUUUCCUCUCAUAUUUCCCUUUCCCCCCUCAUGUUUCCUGCUCUUUUCUCCCCUCACGUUUUCCCGCUCUUUUUCUCCCCUCACGUUUCCCACCCUUUACUCCCCUCACGUUUUCCUGCCCUUUUUUCCCCUCAUAUUUCCCUUUCCCCCCUCACGUUUUCCCGCCCUUUUCUCCCCUCAUGUUUUCCGCCAUUUUUUCCUCUCACAAUUCCACUUUUUCUCCUCUCACAUUUCUCAUUUUUUACCUGUUUUCAUCCCUUUCCUCCCCUCACGUUUUCCCGCUCUUUUUCUCCCCUCACGUUUCCCGCCCUUUUCUCCUCUCACGUUUUCUGCCAUUUUUUCCUCUCACAAUUCCACCUUUACUCCUCUCACGUUUCUCAUUUUUUACCUGUUUUCAACCCUUUUCUCCCCUCACGUUUCCCGCUCUUUU
rnacentral:lncRNA from 1 species